GAAUGAUUCUUCCAGUUCCUGAUAGGGGGAUUUGUGACAUGAUACUGGUGAAAUUAUAUCUCUGCAAGCAUUCACUACUGGAAGCCAGUCCUUCACAAGCUUCAUCCUCACCUGUCGAGGAGCCAGGACAGAUCCAGCAGUAACAGCACUUGCUAGCCGACUGGUACACCUCAUCACUAAGGAAGGCAGACCCGGCGUAACAUUCCUCCAUGCAUCAUCUCUGAACGUCUUCUGUAAAUCCGCCGCAAGCCCCG
rnacentral:misc_RNA from 1 species